CGUCAACUCACACGGCCUUCCUCGUGCAGAUACACGUUAAAAACUGUAAAUGUCACCAGUAUUUAAUACAGAACAAAGCCUGCAAAAUAUCCUUGCACACAUCCACAGGAAUCUUAACUCAUACCUACACAGACGAGGGUGAACUGUCUUGUUCUGUUUGUGUUUGUAGCAUUUGCAGUCAGACUGUCCUUGUUAAUGCAGCGGGCCGACUCAGGACAGCGCUGUGAAGUGUUCCGUGUUCAAGAGCAAAGUCGGAAGAGAAUGGAGCAAGGUAUUGAUAAGACGAAACGAAAGGAGAUUUACGGAAGGGAAGAGGGCUCGUGUUUCACAUACAGUGCGAGAGAAAUCGGCGACUUCACUUCUAAACUCUUCACCGUCUUGCAGAAACCUGCUCUGAGCCCAAAUUAGCUUCCAGUCCACUCGGUAUGAAGGCUGCUUACCUGGCGAGUAAGAAGGCUGCAGCGUGAAGAAUCUGUUCAUCUCGAGCUGCUGACGGAACAUGACAGCAGAAGAAGGCAGCAGGUGCGAGGGGUAAAUGUCCGCGGGCUGUUGUCGCUGCAGCCCAGACCUGGAGCAGCCAGGCAGCGUAUCAGCAGGUGGAGAGGGC